rnacentral:misc_RNA from 1 species
UCUCCAUGGCCUCUAUGUCAGC